CAGAGUUAUUUUUGGGUAGAGUUAUACAGUUAUAGAGUUACAGUAAUAUAGUUGGUGCUACUGUACCUUAAACACUUUUAUUUAUUGGUUUAAAGAGUAGAAAAAUAGGCAUUAUUCAUUAAAUGAUUUGUAUCAUUGUAGUAUUGGAUGAGUGACCACCACAAUCCAUCCCUUUAUAUACCUAAAAUGGUGCCUUUGGAGGGCACUGAAGUUUUUAAUCAUUAUCAACAUAUAUUUUUAAUAAAAAUAACUCUAUGAAUGAGUUCAAAAUGACACUUAUUUUUGAGCCUCACACUUUUCAGCGCUCCAGAGCUCUAACAUUGGAUAGUUUGGACAAAAAUAAUUCAAUUUUCUGAACUCUGGAGUUCUUGAGUUCUUAUAUCGAACAAUCAGUGGUACAGACUUUGUUAGUUGUGUCUUGAAUGGAUGGUUCAUGCAGUUUUAAACAGCGGAGUAUAAACAAAGCCCAUAGUUUUUUUUUUUCUUAAAUAAAAUAAAUAAACACAAAUACAUGUAGCUAUAACAUGCAUGUGUGCAUUAUUACCUCGGUGAUGACAUUCACUGUCAAUAAUUCACCUUGACAGCGAUCCCUUACAGCAUCACUUCAGCUAUGUUCGUUAUUCGUUGUAAUGUGUCAGGGGAAUGUUCUUAAAACAUUAAUCAAAGUAAUAUUAUACCUUCUGUUCUUUUCUUUUAAAAGAACAUUAAAAGAUGCGCUCAAACCGUUCUCCUGAUUCUUUUGAACAAGCGUGAAAAAUGACAAAAGCUCCCUUGAAUCAGAGCUCUGGCAUGUGCGUUACAAUACUGAGUUCUGAUUGGUCAACACAAGAGCAGGCUGGGAAUCCUUUAAAACAAUAUGUGAAGAUAAUUAAAUUGGGUUACAUAUUGAAUUCAUAUACAUUUUGAAUUACUUUUCUUUGUAUUUCAAAUUUUGUUACAUUGUAAAUUAAAAUAUUUUAAAUUAAAUUAUGAAGAAUUAAUAGUCUAUAUAAUAUCACAAACAUACCAAUACAGUGUAAAAAGUGUUCAGUAAUAUUUCAAAGGAUGUCCCUCUCCCUCUUGAUCACUUCAGAUCUUGAUUGUUUUUUACUGAACAGCUUCACCAUGUUUGUGUUAGAGAUCCCUGGGAAACUGCUUUAUUAAAUACAAACGAUCAAUUCAAACUUCAGGUUACAGAUAAUAAAAAUCAUUGAAAAUAUGAGUAUGAACUGUCAGAAACAGAGACUUGAGGUGUAUUAUGAUACAUGGCAAUCUAAAAAUGGGAAAAGCUAGAUUUGCUUGUAGACCAUAGCACAAUACUCACCCUAAAGUUGUUACUUGGGUAAAUUUGGUUUUAUAUUCGCACAUUCGGACUUCCGCAUAGGCUACAAUAACUUUGUACACUACAUUGGACAUUCAGUGGACGUUCGCAAGUAAGUAUGCCAUUAAAAUAAUACUUGCCCAUUUUGAUCGGUUGUGAAAAAUGUUGUAGGGUUACAAUCAUUGGUUGUAAAUAUCAUGUCGCUGUUCAGAAUUUGCAAACAUUAACUUUAUUGCAGAUUAUUAGAACGUUCUUAAACGCGGAAGUCCGAAUGUGCGAAUAUAAAACCAACUUUACCCAAGUAAAGUUGUUGAUGUAACUUGAAAAGUUUAAUGAUCUUCUCCAUUUAGGUGUGACAGCUGACAGACUCGCAACAUGAUGAUCAUCAUUUACAGAAAUCCAGCGAUGUUCUUGUAAGCUGAGAAGUCAUCUUUUCCUCUGUCAUUUUGAAAGCUCUGCGUAAGGAACAAUGACUUCCUUCUUCUUCUUCUUUUAGUUUUUUGGCGGAUUGCAAUCAUGACUUAUCAGGUGCAUAGCUCCACCUACUGUACAGGAGUUUGUAGCAAUGGAUUAUGGUGCGAUAAAACUACUUUACAUAAUAUUAAUAUUAAAAACAAUGACUUCCGAUGCCGCGCCGAUGUAAAUAGGCUGCCUGAGGAAAAAUGUGGAAGUGACUGUGUCCAUUGGGGCGUAAAUGCCACCCAGGACCUUUUUAAUUGGUUUAAAGAAACACCAGGUAUCCAGUGGUCCACAAAUAUAGGGAAAUUACAGAUAGUAAGGAUUUACUAUUUGAAUGUAAUUUAUUUUUUAUUAUUUUUAUGAGAAAUUUUCAAUUCACCUAUAGGUGAAAUGGGUGCUUCUUAAACGACGUUUCAAAAAAGGUUCAGGAGCAGCACGGUCCUGAAUGAAACGUCCCCAUCUGACUAACAGAGAACCGUAUGGGAACGUUCUGUUAAUGUCCCAAAUGUCCUCUUUGUAACGAUCUUAUGUGACCAUUGAUUAACCAAUGUGGAACGUCCCUCUAAAGUCAUAUAAAGAAACUUGAACUGCAGCACUUUCAUAACCAAAAGAGGAUGUUUUACAAACAUCUCUAAUGUAAAGGUUCAGGAUUUCCGUCACAUUUAGAGAACUUUUAGGGAAUGGUGCACAAGGUCACGAGAACGUCCCCUCCUAUGUGAGAUGGAUGUAGAUCUGCACAUCAUCAGUGUCUCAGUAGUCAGAGUAAAAAUAAAACUACUAAACUAACUAAAAAUAACAUUAGUGAGAAUGUAAAUCAUCAUUCUGUAACUCUAGUGUAUAUUAGUUUGUCUGUUGUAAAUCCUGCCCACUUCUUUGCAUUGUCACACAUGCUUCAGUGCUCUGAGAGUGUUUAUAGUGCUGUGAGUUUAACACUUCAUGACUGAGAGCAGAACAGAACACAAUCUUCAUCAUCACACAAGACAAAAGAACAACAAUGAACACAAUCACCUUCUUCAUCUGGACUCUCACUCUGAUCGCUCAAGAGUGUAGAGGACAGUACUCUGUAACUCAGAGUCCAUCAAUAAUUCAGGCUCAACCAGGACAAGAAGUCAGAAUAAACUGUAAAACCAGCAGUAGAGUGAGUGGUGGUAAUUGUUUAGCCUGGUACUUACAGAAACCUGGAGAAGCUCCUAAACUCCUCAUAUAUGAUGCAUCAAGCCGUUAUACUGGAACUCCAUCUAGAUUCAGUGGCAGUGGAUCUGACAGUGAUUUCACUCUGACCAUCAGUGGAGUCCAGACUGAAGAUACAGGACAUUAUUACUGCAUGGGUAGACACUGUCCUAGUAGAUGUGUGUUCACACAGUGAUAAAGAGUGGUACAAAAACCUCGGUCAGUCAGACGUCACAGUGAUGCACUGAUACAGCUGAGAGAUACUGCAGCUGCUGAUGGAGGAUCACAAACAACACAUUGUUGUAUCAAACCUUUCAGAAACAUUAUUUAUUUAUUUAUUUAUUUGGAUGUACUAAGCAUGUGACAUAAUCUUUAUAUUAUAUAAAUGUUAGUGGUGCUUGACACUGCAAAACUUUGCCACAACAAUGUAAUCUAACUGCAGGAAAGUCAGUCACUUUAACUGCACUUCCAUGCUUCAUCACUAGAUGGCGUGUCUGUUACAUAACUGAGUUCUCUAUCUGUCAGUCACUUUGACGUUGUGUCGAUGUGAUGACACUAGUGUAGUGUUUCUCAACCUUUUUUACUCGAUGGCCUCCUCCUUCACCAAAUCAAUACUGCAGUGCCCCCCUAAGAUGCCUGAUAUUUCCUCUUAUACUGAACUUCCACAGCAAAGAGAGAAAAGUGUUUGUAUUUAAGCCUUUUUAUUAACAAAACAUUUGUCAAAACAACGUCUGCUUCCCCAUCGACAUACAGCAUGAGCGCAAACAAUAAACAAUAAAUCUUC